CUGAUACGUAAGUCCCGUGGCAGUCAUAAAGUAAGAAAAACAUUGAAAAUAUGCUUUCAAGCAUAAGCAUUUAAACUUCUUUGGGAAACAGAUUAAUUAAAUGCACUUGUAGGAAAAUGGAAGGUUUAGGAAAGAGUUAUUCCUGCUACUCCUAGCCAGUAUUUCCAAGACCAAUCAAGAGCCAGGGAAGAAAUUGUGGAGAAUAAUACACAGAGGGAAUACUGUACUUCAGAGCUGGAAAAUUUCCUCUGGAGUAGGUAAGGUUUGGAGGUCAACUGCAGUGAGGUCUCUAUACCACAGAGUGGUGAGUCCCCAAGUCCCGGUGAACUCAGGAAAUGGGCAUUAUCCUCUGGAAGAUGUUUAUAGAGGUGACUUUUUUGAGAAUAAAAGUUUCAGCUGGGGCCAAGAAAGGAGUGAUUUCUAGAUGGUGGCAAGAUUGGACAAGAUAUGCAGAUAGCCAGAAUACAGGGCUACUAAACUGGGGUUUGGAUUCCAACUGGUGCACCGCAAGAUAAGGAUGUUUCCCAUCCUUGGGCAGCCAGGUGAGACCAGAGAUGGGCCAAGCCCUUCAGCAAGUCCACUUGCAGCACAGAAGAUCCUCAACUAUCUUCCAAAUGCUAUUAAGUUGACCCCAGUUUGUGGUAUAAAUAUUUUUAUUUUCUGAGUGACAUCAUGUGAAAAAUGUUGGGAAACUCUUUAGACACAAAGCAUUAGAUAAUCUAAAAUCAAGCAUUUCUACUUCGGAUAGCCCAAGCCAGAGUGAAUGUAUCUAUAUUUGUUAGGGCAGCUUAAAUUCCCAGCUUUCCCCUUGUUCAGCCCAUGCUCCCUGCCCAAAAGUGGAGAAAUGCUACCACUCGAUUCAACCAGACAUUCCC
rnacentral:lncRNA from 1 species